rnacentral:rRNA from 1 species
UACGAAGGGUGCAAACGUUGCUCGGAAUUACUGGGCGUAAAGCGCACGUAGGCGGAUAUUUAAGUCAGGGGUGAAAUCCCGGGGCUCAACCCUUGAAAGCCGGCCGAUACUGUCGGACUAGAGUCCGGAAGAGGCAAGUGGAAUUCCCGGUGUAGCGGUGAAAUGCGCAGAUAUCGGGAGGAACACCAAUGGCGAAGGCAGCUUGCUGGGACGGUACUGACGCUGAGGCGCGAAAGCGUGGGGAGCAAACAGG